AUUUGAAUGGCCAAGAUCUACUUGCCAAAAGCAGAGACGUGCGUCGUGAACAGUUAUGAUCGUCUGUGGCAAAUAUAAGACAGUCCGUGUUUGUACACAGGAAAAACUGAGAUACGCAUUAUCAACGAUUAUAAUCGCUUCUGAUAGAGAUCGAACGACGUUAAUUCAUUCAUAAUAAAGCUGAGAGGAGAGGAACCGAUUGUAACACCCCACUCACCACUGUACUUAAUUUGUAUUUGAAAAACCCUAAUUAUUUGAUUCUUAAGGUCACAC
rnacentral:lncRNA from 1 species